CAAUAGCGUAUAUUAAAGCUGUUGCGGUUAAAAAGCUCGUAGUUGGAUUUCUGUCAAGGACAACUGGUCCGCCCUCCGGGUGAGCACAUAGUUUGGUCUUGACAUCUUGCUGGAAGCUGUUGCUGCACUUGGCUGUGUGGCGCAGUGUUCAGCACUUUGACUUUGAGGAAAUUGGAGUGUUUCAAGCAGGCACAUGCCUUUGGACACAGUAGCAUGGAAUAAUUAGAUUGGGCUUUUGCUCCAAUUUGUCGGUUUCUGGAGCUGAGGUGAGUAUUAAUGGGGAUUGUUGGGGGCAUCCGAAUUUAGCCGUCAGAGGUGAAAUUCUUGGAUCUGCUAAAGACGGACAACUGCGAAAGCGUUUGCCCAGGAUGUUUUCAUUGA
rnacentral:rRNA from 1 species